AAAGGAUUAUAAAAAUGUGAAUUAUUUUUUUUGUAAAAGAAAGAUGUCUUCAGAUUAUUAUACGCCCGUCAAAAUUUUGACGGGACGUAUUAUGGUAUACAAAUGUCCGGUGUCCGUCCGUCUGUCCGUCCGUCUGUCCGUCCGUCCGUCCGUCUGUCCGUCUGUCCGGCGUAAACAUGUCGCACCGUAACUUGAGAACGACUUAUCCAAAUCUCAUGAAACUUAAAAUAGUUGUUUCUUAUGAUGGUCAAAUGAUCUGUAUACUUUUUGGUGAAAAUAAGAUUUAAACUUUUUGAGUUACGGCACUUUGUAACCAAAACAGGGGUGUGUUUUUUUUCACAUGUCGCACCGUA
rnacentral:lncRNA from 1 species